AAAAGAAAACAAAGGAUAGAAGAGUGAUGCAGCAGCUUUGCAUAUAAAACCCACGCAACAUCUUUCUUCAUCUUAAUUCAAUUUCUUCCAUCAACCAUUAAACCUUAAAAAAAAAAUAAUUUACCAAUCAUCACUACAUCAACGCCGAUCCAUCAUCUCCAUUUUCAUAUUGAGUUCGUAGUUUGACAGAGAGAAAUAGUUCUUCGGCUUGCGAUUUUCGGGUCGAAAUUUAGAUCAAAAGAAUAAUUUUUUUCGGAUCUUUUUCUGAGUAUAUUAUUCCCAUUACUUCCCUUUACUCAAAUUGCGGGUUCGUAGAAGAACCUUUCUGAUUUGAGAUUGAGUUUUAUUAGCUGUGGUUGCUGAUAAGGGACGUGAAGAUAGUUAGCUCCAGUUGGGUUAAAGAGUGCGUUGGAUCCCUUUUGUUUUAAUAGGACUUUUAAAAAGACUUCCGCUGUUAUUCAUUUGAUUGUAAGAUUUAUAUUCUGGUUUGUAAUAAUUAUUUUACAUUCUAUUUAGUUGGUCUGUAAUAAUUAGUUAAAAAUUUUGGUUAUUGUUUUAGUUAGAACCAUUAGCCUUGCGGUUGUUGUUAAUAAUUAUCGCGGCGUAGCACCUUUGGAUUUCUGAGUUUAUUUUUAUUAAGUUGAUUUUAGAAGUAUUGGAAA